GUUCGGGUUAGGCCAUGAGUUCAAACAACACGCUCAAAACUCAGGUCGCGAAUCCAACACGCCGCUCCAUGAAGAACUUCAACACAUGACCGAAAUGCUUCCACUACAUCCUCAGAUCUUCAUCUUCUCAUAUCGAUUUCAGAAGAUCGAUGAGCAAACUCAAUAAUAUUCAUGUUCAAGCUUCAAACCGGGAUCUAAACGCGUAUUCAUCUCAAAUCCGGCCAUGGCGGAAGAAACAUCCACACAUCCAACAUGUUUUCACCUUCGGAGAGCUCCAUAGGAACGAACACGCGGUUGGAGGAAAGCGUCUUUGAUGCAUUCGCUCAUGUCGAUCCACCAUACUCGAUUCCUCCUUGCGCACACGAAUUUGAAAAAUCCAACGAAGCCAGGUCGCAGUUGAACUGAAUCUUACGCGCAAAGAAAGAAACGAAGUCGAAGCAGUUUGAGAAAACUAACCGGAUUGCGACGUAAAUAGGAUAUUGUACAUUUUAGUUUGGUUUGAACAAAUGGAGCUGCAGGGUUAUUUUUGGAAGGGGGUUCAGUUCUGUUACGCGUUGGUGUUGUUGCGAAGUUGGUUAUAGGUUGUAAACAGUUAGCAUUUUAAAAUUCGUUUGGCUCUGGUGUAGUUAAGUGAAAAUUAUAAAAAAAUGUUAUCAUUUCCAUGGUUACAUGUUUGUGUGAACGUGGGUAUAGUGAUGCUGCCUGCAUUGUUUUGAAAUAUUCCUGCCAGAUUUUACAAGUCAUUCAUGCACAGGUGGUUGGUUUAUCAUAGGAUUCAUAUUAAGUGUUCUAUUAAAUUUUAUUUGCAGGUUCAGUUAAAUGCCAGGGAAGAAGUUAAUUGAGCAAAUGAAUUUGCAGGUUGGAGUUUGAGUCCAAUUAGUGCAAUGGUUGUUGUUAAGUGGAAUUAGUUGCUUGACUGAAUUUGAUGUCCAACUCAAUGUUGGUGUAGGGUUUAUGUAUUGUUGUUGCUGGUUUUUGGCUUAGGGCUAUGAAGUUAAAUGAACAUGACUGGCCCUAUUUCUGUUAGUAGUCUGGUUUAAUGAAUGAUUACAUUGAUAACUACCGAUGACUGUUGUGUGAGCUAGCUUCCUGCUAAAUGAACUGGUGACGGUCUUGUUAAAACCUAUGUUAUGAAUGCAAUGCUGUUAGAAUUUUGUUA